AUGGGGAAAUACAAGCAGCACUUGAAAGUUCAUACCCUGUCAGUUAAUAUUAAAGAACAAAAUGAUAAAAGUUCAGAACCUAAAUUUGAAGGCAUGUGGAGAAAGGAUUAUAAAGUAAAGCAAAGAAGUGGAGGUUAUGACUUGGUCACUGGGUUUUACCCAGAGGAGAAGACAGAUUGGUGGAUAUCUUCACAGAAUGUCCAGGUUUCAUCAAGUCACAACUGCAAGACUCUAGCUGCAGCAAUGUUGGAGAUCAAGUCUCCGUGA
rnacentral:lncRNA from 1 species